GAGGACUUUAGAUUUGAGGGAUUUGGAUAUGGGGAAAAAUUAUGAGUAAUUUGAUUUAGGAUUUAGGAUUUGAAUAUGAGAAAUUUGAGAUAAGGGUUUAGAGACAACCUAGGAUCGAUUGCUCUGAUACCAUACUAAAAUAUGAAUAUGGUUUGAAUGUAUUAGGUUGAAUUAUAUUCUUCUCCAUAAUGAGGUAUAUAUAGGAGUUUACAUGAGUGCUUUACAAGGAAAUAGAUGUAGUAAUCAAUUAGAAUAUUAUUUCCUAAUUAUACAAAGAUUUGUCAACUAAAUAAAAUGGGAAAGUAAAUCCCUUAAUUAAUCAAGGAAAUAAAUCUCCUUGAUUAAUUAGGAGACUCACGUCAACAGUCACAGCAAUGAAAUAUUUGCUUCUCGUCAAUAUUGUGCAAGCGGCAAAACUGUUCCACAGUCAGUGAACAUGGUACUUUGGAUGGCAGUUUAUUUCGUCACCUCUGACGUAUUUUGUAUAUGCCCAACAUUUUCAUUAAAAACCAAAAGAAAAAAAUAACUUAGGAAAAAAAAAAGGAAGCUUUUUAAAAAUAAAUUAGCAUGAAAUAUUCAUAUACCAUGCUCGCAUUACUUCUGGUUGUAGUAAAUUAGGUUUUUAGAUAAUGUGAGCAUUAAUUUAUAGCAAAAUGUGUGUGUGUAUAUAUAUAUUUAAACAUUUACAAUUUAGAAUACAAGUGUUGAAUCCAUACAUAGAUAGUCAAU
rnacentral:lncRNA from 1 species